GACGAACGCUGGCGGCGUGCCUAAUACAUGCAAGUCGAACGCUUCUUUCCUCCCGAGUGCUUGCACUCGAUUGGAAAGAGGAGUGGCGGCCGGGGGAGUAACACGUGGGUAACCUACCAAUCCGAGGGGGAUAACACUUAGAUACAGGUGCUAAGACCGCAUAACAGUUUAUGCCUCGGAGCGUAAGAGUGAAAGGGGCUUUAGGGCGGCGUUGAUGGAUGGUCCCGCGGUGCCUUAGCUAGUUGGUGAGGUAACGGCUCACCAAGGCGACGAUGCAUAGCCGACCUGAGAGGGUGAUCGGCCACACUGGGACUGAGACACGGCCCAGACUCCUACGGGAGGCAGCAGUAGGGAAUCUUCGGCAAUGGACGAAAGUCUGACCGAGCAACGCCGCGUGAGUGAAGAAGGUUUUCGGAUCGUAAAGCUCUGUUGUUAGAGAAGAACAGCGACGUUAGUAACUGAACGUCCCCUGACGGUAUCUAACCAGAAAGCCACGGCUAACUACGUG
rnacentral:rRNA from 1 species